GUGACAAUAAAAAGCAAUAUAUUGUUCCGCUUGAUUUGUCAAAAGUUACAAACUUUACAAGAUAGACGUAAUCAUAAAACUACAUCGGUGAUGAUAUAUAUUUAUCAACGGAAACUCCAAAAAACGAUUUUACGAGAAGAAGCCAAAGGUGUCAAGGAUAGUAGUGUGAAGUGGAUCACUCAAAUGAGUAACCCAGUUGUUGAGAGGACCUUUUCCGGUGGCCGCUGCUUGAACGGCAAACCCAAGGAAUCCCACCAUGGCAAGACGGGCAUGCUUGAUCUCCGCCAGUUGUAGGAUGGCUUUCUUCUCGGGGUCGGCGGCUAAGUUCAACGGAUCAAACGGACCACCGGGGUAUAACCUCUUUUCAGGAUCAAGCUCAGCGUUUCUUUGAAACUCAAUGUAGCCGAUGAUCAAAACCUCAAUCCAGAUCAAAGUGGUGAUAGAGAAUGGGAGUGGUUGACCAAGGUACGAUGAUCCAUCGAUUAGUUCAACCUAAAGAAAAACAAUACAAGAAAAUCCAUUAAUUUUCAUGGUUUAUGCUUAAUCAUCGACUAAUCAAAUCUAUAACAUGUACGUACGCACCUUUCCGGCAUCUUGCCAUGUAACACCGGUGACGGAUUCAACGGUGAGAGCGCCGAGGGUAGCCAACAUAGCCCACCGGCCAUGGAUGAGUUCGCACUCCCUAAACCUCUGAAGCCCGAACACUUCGCUGUAUGGUUGGAAAGGUGUCGAUUUCACAUCCGCAUCUUCGAACCGGGUUCCGAUCACGUCUCCGGCCAAAUUCUUCGCUAAGUUUUGAUCCAACGAGUCCAAAUCAAACUGUAAAUACUCUGCCGGUUUACCUAAACCGAAAGGGUCAAACCCGUAGUCUCCGACCAGACUCCCGUCUAGAUACUCCGGUGCUUUUGCGCCGGGAUACCAUAAGGGGCGAUCAGAUGUUACGGUUCUCGAUGCUUUUUUGGGGGCGGCUUUCUUCUUUCCAAAUCCGAAUCUAGCUGUAACUCGGCCGGAGUUGGAAUGUAGGUCCGGGAGACGGGUUCCGAUGAAGGAGGCGGCGGCGGCGGCAGAUGCGGCGGUUGCCAUCGGUGGUGGUGGUGGUGGGUUGUGACUUGUGUGUAGUGGGCAAGAAGUGUGGCGUGAUGUAUAGAGUUUGAUGGGUGUGAAGGGAUUAGAUAAGCGAGGAAAUUUUGGCCGUUGGAUGAAGCGAGUAUCCAUCUGAGGGAUGAGAGAACGUAGGCCUUAUCUAGGCCUUAUCUGGUUGAAGAAUGUCUGAUUUCUACUGGUGGAUUGAGGAGGAGUACGUGUCAUGGUAAUUUGUGGUUGAUAUUUGCCAAAUUAAACCAUUAAUAAUAAGAACUUGAAAGAUUUAAAAGCUAGCCAAAACAUUUUCAAGGAGAAGGUGGCUAAAGAUAAAAGGUUAAUUUCAUGAAAGAUAUAAAACUUUGUUUUGUUCUCUUAAAUCAAAUGUUUUAUUUUUUUCCUUUAAAAACUAUGGCUUUUUCAGAAAAAGAAAUAUAUAAUUUUGUUCGAUAAUUGGAUUUGUGGUUAAUUAUUGGUAAACAGUUACAAAAACAAAUUUUGAUAAACUUAUACCUUUUAUUUUUUCUGUAAGCAAAAGUUUUAGUUAAACUGAAAAUUGGUUAAAUUUAUAGAUUUUUAUUAAACUUUUUUAACUUUCUCAACCACUAAUGGUUUCAAUAAUAAAAAAUUAGGAAAGUUCUNNNNNNNNNNNNNNNNNNNNNNNNNNNNNNNNNNNNNNNNNNNNNNNNNNNNNNNNNNNNNNNNNNNNNNNNNNNNNNNNNNNNNNNNNNNNNNNNNNNNNNNNNNNNNNNNNNNNNNNNNNNNNNNNNNNNNNNNNNNNNNNNNNNNNNNNNNNNNNNNNNNNNNNNNNNNNNNNNNNNNNNNNNNNNNNNNNNNNNNNNNNNNNNNNNNNNNNNNNNNNNNNNNNNNNNNNNNNNNNNNNNNNNNNNNNNNNNNNNNNNNNNNNNNNNNNNNNNNNNNNNNNNNNNNNNNNNNNNNNNNNNNNNNNNNNGAUAUUUACCAUUUAAUAUAAUUAUAAUUUAUAAAAAUAACAAAAUUUGAAUAAAGAAAUAUAUACUUCACGAUAUAUAUUUAUAAAACAUUAUAUUAGGGAGCGAUAACUUUUUAAUUAUCAAUAAAACUUUUUCAAAAUAUAUUUUUAUUUGAUUCUUUUUAUUUUUAUUUAUUAAUAGAAUAGAUUAUAAUAAUAAUAAAAUUAUUGUAUCAAUACAAAAGUUAUGAAAGCUGAUGGACUCAUAUAAAUGUGGUGCAAAUGGAUGGACUUAUUUAACUAACUAAAACCAAAAAAGGUACCAUCAAUUUUAUAACUUGUUCUGUAUGGUUUUGUUUUAAAUGUCAUAAUCUAAAAGAAAACUUUUAAAAGAGGUUAAAAAUUGAAGAAAAAUAUAAAUUUCACAAGAUAUGAAUGUUUUUUUUCAAUAUAUGAUAUAAGUUGCAAUAUAUGGAGGUGUUUUAAAAUAUAUGAUUAAUUCAUAUCAAUUUUCUUUUUUUACUUGAAUUUUUUCAAAAAUGUUUAAUAUUUUUAUAAUUAAACCUAAUCCUAGUGUCAUUAUUACUUUCCUAUUGUACAUACAAAAUUCUCAUAAAAUCGAGAUGUAACCCUUAAUUUACAUUAUGAUAUGACCUAUAGAAUGAUAUGAAAUUUUAUACUCCUUCCGUCUCAAUAUUAUUGUUCACAGACAAAAAACACACAGAUCAAGAAAAGCAUUAAUUACCAUUAAUUUUAUUUAAUAAAAUGACACUUUUGUCUUUACUUUGCAUUUAAUGUUCCAUUAAAAGUUUAGUUGGUUAAGUAAUAAUGAGGGGUAUUUUGGUAAAAAUGUUAUUUAUUUUUAGAAAUGGACUAUUAUUUUGGGACAAACCAAAAAGAGUUAAAUCAAACUCUAAUUUUAGAAAUGGACUAUAAUUUUAGGACGGGGGAGUAUCUUUAAACUUAUUUGCUUUUAGAAGUUACAUACAAGCAUUUGUAAUAAAAUUAUUUUAAAAAUUUAGAAACCGAAAAAGAGUUAAAUCAAACUAUAUUAGCAAUUUUAGUCCCUCACUCACACAAUGCUAUAAUUGGUUAGUUUAAAAAAGAAAUAGUCAUAGUGCAAUACUUGUUUAGUUUCUAUAAAAAAGUAUGAUGCUACAAUUGGUUAGUUUUUCAUAAUAAAAAAACUCAAAGUGCAAUGAUAUAAUAUACAAACAUAAAAGUAUGUUUCUAUCUGUUGCAAACAUUUGACUAUACAACAAACAUUUUGCUUAGUUGUACAUGUAAUAAAAAAAACCUUUAAUUAAACAUUCUAGUAACCUUAUGAGAUUGCAAGUGAGAUGUAUUUUUUUAAUAACACAUGUCAUCUUGUUGAUGGCCUCGCCCGCUACAACGGCCCCGCCGCUCCAGGCCUCGCCUGGCUUCGAGCCCCGGUCGGAUACAGAUCUGUUUCACUUAGGCCUCGCCUGUCACAGGGUCUCGCUCGCUAACACAUAAUAGCACACAAACAUAUCAUAACACAUAAGCUAAACACAUACUAACGGAUCUUGUCCUAAGGCCUCGCCUAUCCUGAGCCUCGCCCUUGUCCUGCUACUGAUGAGUCAUGGAACCCCGUCCACGCUCUUACUGAUAGUGAGAUACGGGCCCAGCCCAUACUCACUCUUUCCUUAACUUGGGCCUCGCCCCUGAUCUGUUGCUAACGAGAUGUGGAACACCAUCCACACUCUACUAAUAGUGAGAUACGGGCCCAGCCCACACUUACUCUUUCCUUAACUUGGGCCUCGUCCCUGAUUUGUUGCUAAUGAGAUGUGGAACGCCAUCCACACUCUGCUAUUGGUGAGAUACGGGACCUCGCCCACACUCACCUCCCUACCAGGCACAUACAAGUAUCACAUAGACAACAGGUAUAAACUAUCACAUAAACCAUUCCUUGGGCACCCGCCCGCUAUCAUUGGACCUCCUCCUGAAUAUGAUACUAGCAUACUGUGCCUAGGGCUAACCCCGGGUCUUCUACUCAAAACUACAUGGGCCGGCAUUGUGGUCGUAGACCCAUUCACACAAAAGGGAAACUCACCUGUUCUUGCUAAACUUGCUGAUAACCCCUCUGGAUGUUGAAUGACAAUUCCCUGAACCGCUGCCCCGCUAGCUCCCCAAGCUACCAAUAUCAAUGCAACACUUAGUCUAACUGGCCCCCAAAAGUCAACUCUGGUCAAUGUCAAAGUCCUGGUCAAGGUCAACCUUCCAGGUCAACCCUAGUCGCCGAGUCAACCUACUGACUCGCCGAGUUUAUAUGCUCAAAGUCCUUCCAUUCGCGACUCGACUCGCCGAGUCUACCGAUUUCCAAGUCCUGACCUGUCCGACUCACCGAGUCUCCACCCGACUCACUGAUUCGAGUCUCAACUCGAAGGGUUUGGGGUUUCGCGACAUGACUCGCCGAGUCCAAGAACAGACUCUUCGAGUCCAAGGCAAUCUUCAACAGACUCGCCGAGUUGUUCUUCCAACUCGUCGAUUUCCCAACCAACCUCGUCCAACUCGCCGAGUCCACCCAUGUGACUCGCCGAGUCGCUCCAGCUCUUAAACCAUGCAGUGGCUUUUCGAGCCAAACAGGGGCUCCAACACAUAGAUCCAUACUUCCAGGGCCUAUUCUUCACGUAAAGUGGCAAACUUUACGUGUAGCUAUGGAGAUCUAGGCUCAAAACACUCCAAACUAGGGUUUAUGACAACCAUGCUUCACCCACAUACCAAGACCUGAUACUUUAUGGGAUUCUAGACCAAAACAAGCAUGGACCUGAGGUAGCAACCUCAGAUCUAAACUUCUAGCUUGAAAUGGUUACUCAUCAUGCUAAGAAUGCCCAAAACUCACACAUAGAUCUAGGUGCAAAGGAGUCCAAGAACUAGUUUAUUACCUCCAAAUGUUCAGAAAUGUCUUCCCAAUCCUGGAUCUAUAGCCCCUUCUAGCCCCUCCAAGAUCCUUCUUCCUUCUCCAAGCUUUAAUGCACUCUUCAAGGCAAUAAUUAGCUCAAAAAUGGAUAUGGCGGCUAGGGUUUGGUGUUCUGGGUUAGAGAGGCAGUAAAGGAACCCUAGGGAAGAGAAUGAGACGCUUAAAUAGGCUCCAAGUCCCGAAUUUAGGGUUUUCCUCGUUCAGACUAGACUCGCCGAGUCUCCUUAGCCGACUCGCCGAGUCAGUCACUUACUCCUUGACCCGGAUCCCGCUCGGACUCGUCGAGUUCCUCCUUGGACUCGAUGAGUCGUCCCUUAAACUUAGGGUUUCCUUUCCUUUCUUGGCCUUCCUGACUUUGGGUGUUACAACUCACCCCCACUUAAACUAAACUUCGUCCUCGAAGUUUGCUAUGGCCCACUGCCUACGAUCUGCUUCCAAUACCCUACUAAUUACUCCAACACCAGCUGCCUAACUUCGCUGGUCUUCCGCCUGGUCAUUCCGACUAACAUUAAUCCUUGCGGAUAAUAAUCUCGGGUCAACGCUGACCCUGAACAUUGUGGAAACACAACUUACUCAACCGACAAUCCUUCUGGUACUCUCCGAGUACUGCACUGAACCCAUAGGGAUUCACCCCUUCUUUCCUUUCGCGAUUUCCUUGACUUCUCAAGGCAACGCUCCAUAACCAACUAUUUCCUCUGUCACUGUGAAGAUCUUAUCUUCACCAAAUCCAUUACUCCUGCUACCUCCAGUAUGGGUCAUUAUCGCCAGUAUCCACUGAGAAUUUCUUUCUACGCUAAAUUAGUGUCGAGUACCCCACGAUCAACUAACUGAAUUCCACCAUACACUGCUUACCUGCACUACUACAUACUGAAAAUUCUGCUAUUCCUUAUCUGCUUUCCGGAUGAACUGAGACCACCUGGGUCCCUACCAACCUAUCAAUAUCUGGAUUACCGGCUCCCACCGGUAGCUAGCCCCAACACAACUCCUAGUCGCUCACAGCGACUUUCGAAGAAACUUCGACCACCUAUAACUGCUCAAUCUAUUAUGCCAUACAGGCACUACCAUCCUAGGAUCCUCGAUCCCCUAUCAUGACACUACGAUCCCUACCAGGUCCCACCUAUGCUGCUAAAACUCACGGGCCUCGCCCACGGGCCCCACCCGCCUCUAUCCUUCAAGUCCCACUUGUCUACCCACUCUCGCUCGGGCCCCGCCCACGGGUCUCACCUAACCAUACUACUGAGCAACCCUGCUCUCAGGUCUCACCUACACUGCUAAUCUCAUACGGGCCUCGCCCACGGGUCUCACCCUACUAUAUCCUGGAGUGGCCUCCCCCAAGGUCUCACCUCUCUAGGGCUAUACAGGCAAACUCCCUACCAUUCUCGUCCACUACCCAUUCCUGAUCUCUAUCUGAUCACUAGGAGAUAAGGGCCUCGCCCCAACUCCGCUAAUGAAGCUACCAUGGAAUGCUACGACUUACUCGUAGUCUUACAUCACCUUCCAUCACUGACUGCUAGCGAAUGCUACGACUGCCUCGUAGUCUUACAACACUCUCUACCACUGACCGCUAGUGAAUGCUACGGCUGCCCCGUAGUCUUACAACACUCUCUACCACUGACCGCUAAUACGAAAGCAACCCAUGCUAUCAAUUCUCAAGAUCCUCAUUCCGACUCUCUCGAGUCCUACAGGCGAUCCACCAACCUGAAUUCCCAACCACAUACUAACCAUCACCAUCACACGCACUAGCUGAUGGGGAGUUUCUCAAACUCCCAACCCUGAACUCCUCAAUCCAUCAAACAUUGUACUACUUCUUUUCCUUCUCAAAGGUCGCGCACUCAUCCUGGAUCUGCGUGCUCUUACCUUUUCACACUCGAAGGAUACUCCCCCACUUCGAUCCUGCUUACCCUUUGCUGCUUAAUGCUCAGGAAGAAAUCCCAAUCCUUGCUACCAUUCCAUAAUCAAUCUGCUGAGGAACCCAAGCUUACCAUAGCUAGGGAUCUAACCAAUCCAUCUCUAAAACUAUACAACUCCGAACUAGCGAGGCGUACCAAGUCCCUCCCAAGCAUGCUACAGUUAUUGCAUCCUAUGUAACCUUCUCCAAUAGAGCACAUCCCCUCACUAUCAUUCAAAUUCCCAAGGUAUGCAGAUGGCAUAUAACUCGAUCAUAAUCACGCCGCUAAAAAAAAUAAAAUACUCAUACCGAUAAUGAUGCAAAACCAUAACAAUAUAAUCAUGCACAAAUAAAAGAACUGAAAAUGGAAAUCGCAUACCUACAACGUCCGGUGCUGCUCGCACCUCCAAGGUAGUCAUCUGAAAAGCCCUGCCUCCUACCACAGGCGCCUCUAUACGGCCCUGAUUGCCAUCUGUGAUCCUCAAAGUUGCAGGGGCAGGUGCCAUCACUCGUCCUGCCGAAAAAAAACUGGGGCACUAGGCCUUCUUGUGGCCCCGCUGAACUGCAGUGAAAACAUAUCAAGUCUGAUGCCUGUGUGGUGGUGAUAGUACAAUCCCUGCUAAAAUGACCAGUCCGACCACACUUGAAGCAGCCGGACUCAUCAUCGCUACCACUCCUGCACGCGUCCCCGUGCGCCCUGCCACACUUCCCGCACCGGCUGCGGUCCUGAUAAUCCCUCGAUCUCGGAUCCGAUCCCUUGGGCCUUUUGUCCGAACCUGUGGCUCCCUAAACCUCAUCCGACUUCCUCUUCCGAAUCUGGUCCAAAUCAAUUUCCCUCUCUUUAGCCCGAGAAAUCAUAUCUUCCAGUGUCUUACAGCCGGAUCUGCUCACGAACUUCCUGAUGUCAUCCCUCAACAUCUCAUGGUAUCGGGCCUUCUUCAUCUCCUCAUCCGCGACAUACUGCGGUACAAGAAGAGCCCUUUCCCUGAACUUGGCGGUGAUCUCCGCCACAGUCUCAGUGGCCUGUGUCAAAUCCUGAAAUUCCCGUGCCAACUGUUGCACCUCAAUAAUCGGUGAAAACUCAGCCUUGAAUCUGGCCGAGAAAUUGCUCCAUGUCAUCGCGUCCAACGCGACAUCAUCCCCCAAAGCAUGACCAAUCUCUUCUCACCAAUCCCUCGCUCUGUCCUUCAGUAGACAGGAGGCGAGUCUGACCUUGUCCCCCUCGGGACACCGGCUCGUACGGAAUGCGUUGGCAACAUCAGCCAACCAUCUGCUGCUAGCGAUGGGGUCCCUAGCCCCAUGAUAAUCUGGUGUCCCGCAAGCCCUAAAAUCUCGAAAUGUCAAGGUACGCGCUCCCAUCAAUGCCAUCAUCUCAGUACGGAAGGCUCCCAGCCUCUCAUCCAAGAUCUCCAGUAUGCCCUCCUUGACCGUGCCAAAGAUCACAGGAGUCUGAGCUAGAAUACUGCGCGUAACCUCAGCUGAUAUCAACUCUCUCAUCCGCUCCUCGAGCUGCUCGGCCCCUGAACCCGAGCCUGAUCCCUCUCCGGCGCCUGGUCCGCUCACUGGUCUCUCUCGCAACGUCACCAUGCUGAAAAUAUAAUACAUCCUCUAUCAUAAUACUUAUCACUGCUGUGCGACCUAACACACGCACUACCAGGUCCCCAGUCUUGUCUCGGCCUUUCCCGAAUCGAGUACGGAUCCUCUGCUUUCAGUAGUACGGGCCCAUACUACCUUCCACAUCUAUCUGUACUUUCCUCAGGACUUGCUUCAACUCCACUAGGUCCCUUUUUCUAUUACUACUGCUCCCAGCACUAUCUCAUCCUAGGCUUACCCUAGGGAAACCUCUGACUCAACCCAAACCAGUCCUCAGCUGUUGAAGGUCUCCUUGUGAUGCCAAUUAGCCAAUACCUGGAUACUAUCACAUGUGACGAGGCUUAGAUAAUCCUUCGGGUAAAUGAGUCGUCCCUACAACGGUUGGACUCAAACAAGAGCUGCGAAAUAGGGCCAAAUCUAGCACUCUGAGAUUAUUCAACCCUGAUAACAUGUGACGUGACGUAUCCACCUAAUGGCUAACUCCCAUCACUUAGAAUCCCAUAUUGCACAAAGCAAGCAGCAUUCAGACAAGGGGAAAAUCUAACCACAACACACUCAAGCAAUCAUAUCCACAUAGCAAGAAUCUGAACUGGCAUGCAACACAAACUCAUAAACUCAGGCAUAACCUAAACAGGCUAUCCUACUACUUUCUAAUCAACACUAUCAUGCAACUCAAAGCACAUAUAAUAGGCACAUAAGGCAUCCUCCCUAGAUCCUUAGUCCUAAUCUAACAUGCUGUUCUACUAACUGAUAAUCAUAACAUAAACUUGUAUGGGUAUUUUGGGGUACUUACUUGAGCUCGGCUGAUUGCAUACACCACACCCUUUUUCUCUUUUCAAAGUUCUUUCCUUUCUGAAUUCUUUUUGCUUUUCUAAAACUGUUUUCUUUCUCAAAACUCUCUUCUUACAAAAUUGUCUUUUCUUUUUGAAAACUUCUAUACCAAUUCCUCAGUUUGAGUUCAGACACACCCGAGAGCAUAUCCGAAUCCCUCAAACUAAAGCUCUGAUACCAACUUGUAACAUCCCAAAAUUCAAGACUAAAAAUUUCUUUUAAUAAAACAUUACUUAAAGCAAAAUCAUCAAACCAAAACAUAAUCAGAGUAUUAGUUUCCAAAACACAUAUUCGUUAUCAAAGUAAAACAUUCCCAGGCUGCCUAAACUAUGGUGUGUGCCAUGCGAUCACCCCGAGCUCUUCCCUCCGCUACCGGAAGUACAUGAAACCAAAACUAAAAACCGUAAGCACGAAGCGUAGUGAGUUCCCCACCCNCCAUGCGUAACCACAUACUGCACAUACUGGGCCACGCCUGCUAUCCUGGGCCUCGCCCCCUGCCUCGGGCUUCGCCCGCUACAACGGCCCCGCCGCUCCAGGCCUCGCCUGGCUUCGAUCCCCGCUCGGACACAAAUCUGUUUCACUUAGGCCUCGCUUGUCACAGGGCCUCGCCCGCUAACACAUAAUAGCACACAAACAUAUCACAACACAUAAGCUAAAUACAUACUAACGGAUCUUGUCCUAAGGCCUCGCCUAUCCUGGGCCUCGCCCUUGUCCUGCUACUGAUGAGUCAUGGAACCCCGUCCACGCUCUUACUGANNNNNNNNNNNNNNNNNNNNNNNNNNNNNNNNNNNNNNNNNNNNNNNNNNNNNNNNNNNNNNNNNNNNNNNNNNNNNNNNNNNNNNNNNNNNNNNNNNNNNNNNNNNNNNNNNNNNNNNNNNNNNNNNNNNNNNNNNNCCCUAACUUGGGCCUCGCCCCUGAUCUGUUGCUAAUGAGAUGUGGAACGCCAUCCAUACUCUGCUAUUGGUGAGAUACGGGACCUCACCCACACUCACCUCCCUACCAGGCACAUACAAGUAUCACAUAGAUAACAAGUAUAAACUAUCAAACAAACAAUUCCUUGGGCACCCGCCCACUAUCAUUGGACCUCAUCCUGAAUAUCAUACUAGCAUACUGUGCCUAGGGCUAACCUCCGGGUCUUCUACUCAUAACUACAUGGACCGACAUUGUGGUCGUAGACCCAUUCACACAAAAGGGAAACUCACCUGCACUUGUUGAACUUGCUAAUAACCCCUCUGGAUGCUGACCGACAAUUCCUUGAACCGCUGCCCCGCUAGCUCCCCGAGCUACCAAUAUCAAUGCAACACUUAGUCUAACUGACCGCCGAAAGUCAACUCUGGUCAAUGUCAAAGUCCUGGUCAAGGUCAACCUUCCAGGUCAACCCUACUCGUCGAGUCAACCUACUGACUCGCCGAGUUCAUAUGCUCAAAGUCCUUCCAUUUGCGACUCGACUCGCCGAGUCUACCGAUUUCCGAGUCCUGACCUGUUCGACUCACCGAGUCUCCACCCAACUCAUUGAUUCGAGUCUCAACUUGAAGGGUUUGGGGUUUCGCGACCUGACUCGCCGAGUCCAAGAACAGACUCGCCGAGUCCAAGGCAAUCUUCAACAGACUCGCCGAGUUGUUCUUCCAACUCGCCGAGUUCCCAACCAACCUCGUCCAACUCGCCGAGUCCACCCAUGUGACUCACCGAGUCGCUCCAGCUCUUAAACCAUGCAAUGGCUUUUCGAGCCAAACAGGGGCUCCAACACAUAGAUCCAUACUUCCAAGGCCUAUUCCUCACGUAAAGUGGCAAACUUUACGUGUAGCUAUGGAGAUCUAGGCUCAAAACACUCCAAACUAGGGUUUAUGACAACCAUGCUUCACCCACAUACCAAGAGCUGAUACUUUAUGGGAUUCUAGACCAAAACAAGCAUGGAACUGAGGUAGCAACCUCAGAUCUGAACUUCUAGCUUGAAAUGGUUACUCAUCAUGCCAAGAAUGCCCAAAACUCACACAUAGAUCUAGGUGAAAAGGAGUCCAAGAACUAGUUUAUUACCUCCAAAUGUUCAUAAAUGUCUUCCCAAUCCCGGAUCUAUAGCCCAUUCUCGCCCCUCCAAGAUCCUUCUUCCUUCUCCAAGCUUUAAUGCACUCUUCAAGGCAAUAAUUAGCUCAAAAAUGGAUAUGGCGGGGAGGGGGUGGGGGUGUGNNCUAGGGUUUGGUGUUCUGGGUUAGAGAGGCAAUAAAGGAACCCUAGGGAAGAGAAUGAGACGCUUAAAUAGGCUCCAAGUCCCGGAUUUAGGGUUUUCCUCAUUCAGACCAGACUCGCCGAGUCUCCUUAGCCGACUCGCCGAGUCGGUCACUUACUCCUUGACCCGGAUCCCGGUCAGACUCGCCUAGUUCCUCCUUGGACUCGACGAGUCGUCCCUUAAACUUAGCUUUUCUUGGCCUUCCUGAGUUUGGGUGUUACAAGGUGCUUGGCUAUUGAUUUGAUGCUUCCAGAACAUUUCCCCCAAAAACAUUCAGUGGUUUCCAUUAAGCAUUUCAACCAACAAAAAAGCUAGAUUUUCACAACUUGAAGUUAUAUUUGCAUUAAACAAAUGUCAACAUUCACUUCUUGGUCAUGUCAAGAAAAAAAUACAUACUUUGGAAGGGGAAGUAAAAUGGCAGAAUUACCCUUGUUUAAGAGACAUAUUUUAUCAAAUGUUUUGAGAAUUGUGUACCAGUACAUAUGUUAACAGAUGCAAGAUCGCCAUAUCCAUUACCAAUGUUAGGUGUAUUACCAUCUGGAUCUUUAGUGACUUCUUUAACCAAUGUCUUGUGAAAAUAAAAUGCUAUUACAUGUCUUCUCUGAGCAGCCAUAUCAUACACGAAGUGAAAACCAACAUGAUAGAUGUAAUUCAUAUGAAGUUAUACUUCAUAAAAAAGCACAUAAACAUAAAUUAAAAAAAAAACAUUUUUAUUGGACUAUUUUUUUAGUUUACCUGGAGAGAGGCCAUGCAAUUGAGACUCAGGUUGGGGCAUAAAUGAGUGAACCGAAGGGUUUUCUUAAUCAGGUAGAAAAAUAAGGCAUCAAUGUAUCUUUGAGACAUUUAGUCUAACAACUGAACACUACCUUUUAACAAAAUUCUCUAUUUUUUUGAACUUUUUUAAAUCCCAUUAACAACCACAUACAUAGGUCAAAUAAAUACAAUUGCACACACCCAUAAUUACACAUAUUCAUAUACAAACACACUAAAAACCAUAUACAUACAAUCAAAUACAUAGACUCGAACACAAUUCUUGAAAACUUUGAUUAUUGUUUUUAGAGCCUCGUUAUGCAAUUAGGUAGCUUGGACCUGUAAUUUAACAGCAUUUUGGUAUGAAUAGACGAUCAAUAUAACGAUUAGGAAGAAACUUGAAACUACCAUAAUCUUUUAUUGGAUUUAGGUGACUGGGUAUUUUUUUAAAUCUAAGUUUACUCGAAUGAUUUUACCAUCAUGUUGAAAAGGGCAUUUUCGAUUCGAAUUGCGCAUUAGAGGAAGGUCCAUGGAACCAAAAAGAAAGACAGAUAGAAAAAGAUUUGAAACAUACCACACAUCAGAAUAAAAAAGAAGAUGAAAAUGUUAGGGUUUCUGAUUAAAUUACCUGUGGAUCAUCGCGCCAGUAAAGGAAUCAUCAACAAUAACCUCACAACAAUCUGCACAUUCAAAGGGUAUUUUUUAUAAAUUUGUAAAAUUUGCAGAUAUGAGAGUUGGACCAAAAUCUAAUAUGGUCAAAAUCAGAAGAAAAAAAAUAGUUGAUCAUCUUCUUUUGAAAUUUGUUUUUAAAUCUAAGAAACACAUCCACCAGUACAUCAAUAAUCUACAUUGUCCAUAUGUACCAUAAUGGCUUCCUCUGCUAUCACCGAGCUUCUUCCUAAAUCCAUCCAAGAAUCUACAUUGCCAUUGACAUAUGUGUCUUAGACUAAUCUAAUACAUCUAUGAUGAUUACCUGGGAUUUCAACCUUAUUAUAAAAAAAAUAAGCAUCCGUGAUGGGUUACAAGUUAAAAGAAGACCCACAAAACAAUAAUCGAGAAAAAUCGCAACAACUAUUAAAAUGAAGUUAUGUUUUCAAAUAGAAUUUGCAAGAAAAACAAUCAGGCACAUAAAAUGAAUAAAAAUAUCAAAUAGAAAAAUUACAAGCAUUUAGCCUUGUACAUUAAGAAAAAGCAAGUUUGAUAUUUAACCUGAAAUUGGAUGAAGGAAACGGGCCCUCAAUUCUUCUUUUGGUCCUUGUGUCAUCGAGCACCUUGCUCCUGUCAAUAGUCGAUCCUGAUUAAUCUUCAUCACGAUAAUAAGGAAGAAGGUUAGGGGAGAAGAACAAAUGUAAUAGGAAUCCAUCAUGUUAAUUUCAAAAAUGGUUGCAAUGGUGAAGUUGAAUCACGCUAAAACCCUAAAUAUGGGUAAAUAGACAGGGCGUAGCCAAGAUAUACAUACUACAAGUGGACCUUUGGAUUAAAAAAAUUAAAGGCUAAGAUCUUUUAUGGCACUUUUGUAAAUAAGUGGAAAAAAACACGGGAGGGUAUCUCAAAAAAAUAAUAUAAGGACAUUUUAGGGAUUUAGAAAUUAUCCCCCAAAUAAACAUGUCAGAUCGAUCCCUAAUUAUUUCUACUGCUCAUUCCCUUUUCCUGAUUCUUCAUUGAGUCCAUCGACCUCCUCCCUGAUUCCAUCGGCACCUCCCCCCGCCUCCGCCUCCAAUGCCCACCCCUACCUGUAUCAACAACCAACAUGGUCUUGUAUUCAUUGUUGUCGAUCAUCUCGACUCCAUUAAAGGUGUUGUCUCUUCUCCUUCAUCCAUACGUCUGUAGAAGACCACUCAUACAUCGACCUACCGUUCUCUUCGUUGGAGAUCAUCCAACCUCUCUCUCAUUUCUAUCAGCCAUCGAUAAUUCAUCAUUAAUCGAAAAAAACCUGAUUAAUCUCAUGGAUCGCAAAUACACGCCUAAGUGGGAAUCGAUUUCUACAAAAUUAAUUCUUCAAAAUCGAUUGUCGAUAGAGCUUUGGUAUCGAUUUUCUAGUCAUGAUAUCAAGAAGUUAUGGAUUAAAUCAUUGAAGGUAAUCUAAAAUCGAUUCAUUUAUGUAUUUUUCUCUCCUUUAUCGAGUCAACCAGUCACAUACCCUGUGGUCUAUUUUUCUCUUCUUUACUUCUUCCUCUUAGUUUCUGUCUCUUAUUUGACCAUUUUUAUGGCUGAUUUAUAGGUUUUUAUGGAUAGUUGUAACCACUUUCUGGAAUUUAUGAAGAGGAG
rnacentral:lncRNA from 1 species